rnacentral:siRNA from 1 species
GGAGCAUGUCUAAUAUUUAUGGU